rnacentral:rRNA from 1 species
UACCAGACUCCUACGGGAGGCAGCAGUGGGGAAUAUUGCACAAUGGGGGAAACCCUGAUGCAGCGACGCCGCGUGAGCGAUGAAGUCUUUCGGUAUGUAAAGCUCUCUCAGCAGGGAAGAAGAUGACGGUACCUGACUAAGAAGCCCCGGCUAACUACGUGCCAGCAGCCGCGGUAAUACGUAGGGGGCAAGCGUUAUCCGGAUUCACUGGGCGUAAAGGGAGCGCAGGCGGCACGGCAAGUCUGAUGUGAAAGCCCGGGGCUCAACCCCGGGACUGCAUUGGAAACUGCCGGGCUGGAGUGUCGGAGGGGUAAGCGGAAUUCCUAGUGUAGCGGUGAAAUGCGUAGAUAUUAGGAGGAACACCAGUGGCGAAGGCGGCUUACUGGACGAUCACUGACGCUGAGGCUCGAAAGCGUGGGGAGCAAACAGGAUUAGAUACCCGUGUAU